rnacentral:rRNA from 1 species
GAUGAACGCUGGCGGCGUGCCUAAUACAUGCAAGUCGAGCGAACAGACGAGGAGCUUGCUCCUCUGACGUUAGCGGCGGACGGGUGAGUAACACGUGGAUAACCUACCUAUAAGACUGGGAUAACUUCGGGAAACCGGAGCUAAUACCGGAUAAUAUAUUGAACCGCAUGGUUCAAUAGUGAAAGACGGUUUUGCUGUCACUUAUAGAUGGAUCCGCGCCGCAUUAGCUAGUUGGUAAGGUAACGGCUUACCAAGGCAACGAUGCGUAGCCGACCUGAGAGGGUGAUCGGCCACCCUGGAACUGAGACACGGUCCAGACUCCUACGGGAGGCAGCAGUAGGGAAUCUUCCGCAAUGGGCGAAAGCUUGACGGAGCAACGCCGCGUGAGUGAUGAAGGUCUUCGGAUCGUAAAACUCUGUUAUUAGGGAAGAACAAAUGUGUAGGUAACUAUGCACGUCUUGACGGUACCUAAUCAGAAAGCCACGGCUAACUACGUG